rnacentral:lncRNA from 1 species
UACAUCUACCACCAUAAUUAUUGCCAUCCCUGCAGAUAGUAAGGUCUUUAGUUGACUAACAACAGUACCUGGAGGCAAUAUUAAAUGAUCCGCUGCCAUACUCUGAGCACUAGGCUUCAUUUUCCAAUUCACAGUGGGAGGUUUAACUGGAAUCAUACUAUCGCUAGAUAUCAUUCCACAUGAUACAUAUUAUGUUGUAAUACAUUUCCAUUAUGUCCUGUCAGUA